GCUUCGGUGGCCUAGUGGCUAGAGCGUCCUCCUCGGAUGAGGGAGGUCACGGGUUCAACCCCAGCCGAGUCA